rnacentral:rRNA from 1 species
GACGAACGCUGGCGGCGUGCUUAACACAUGCAAGUCGAACGGAAAGGCCCUGCUUUUGUGGGGUGCUCGAGUGGCGAACGGGUGAGUAACACGUGAGUAACCUGCCCUUGACUUUGGGAUAACUUCAGGAAACUGGGGCUAAUACCGGAUAGGAGCUCCUGCUGCAUGGUGGGGGUUGGAAAGUUUCGGCGGUUGGGGAUGGACUCGCGGCUUAUCAGCUUGUUGGUGGGGUAGUGGCUUACCAAGGCUUUGACGGGUAGCCGGCCUGAGAGGGUGACCGGCCACAUUGGGACUGAGAUACGGCCCAGACUCCUACGGGAGGCAGCAGUGGGGAAUAUUGCACAAUGGGCGGAAGCCUGAUGCAGCAACGCCGCGUGCGGGAUGACGGCCUUCGGGUUGUAAACCGCUUUCGCCUGUGACGAAGCGUGAGUGACGGUAAUGGGUAAAGAAGCACCGGCUAACUACGUGCCAGCAGCCGCGGUGAUACGUAGGGUGCGAGCGUUGUCCGGAUUUAUUGGGCGUAAAGGGCUCGUAGGUGGUUGAUCGCGUCGGAAGUGUAAUCUUGGGACUUAACCCUGAGCGUGCUUUCGAUACGGGUUGACUUGAGGAAGGUAGGGGAGAAUGGAAUUCCUGGUGGAGCGGUGGAAUGCGCAGAUAUCAGGAGGAACACCAGUGGCGAAGGCGGUUCUCUGGGCCUUUCCUGACGCUGAGGAGCGAAAGCGUGGGGAGCGAACAGGCUUAGAUACCCUGGUAGUCCACGCUGUAAACGGUGGGUACUAGGUGUGGGGUCCAUUCCACGGGUUCCGUGCCGUAGCUAACGCUUUAAGUACCCCGCCUGGGGAGUACGGCUGCAAGGCUAAAACUCAAAGGAAUUGACGGGGCCCCGCACAAGCGGCGGAGCAUGCGGAUUAAUUCGAUGCAACGCGUAGAACCUUACCUGGGUUUGACAUGGAUCGGGAGCGCUCAGAGAUGGGUGUGCCUCUUUUGGGGUCGGUUCACAGGUGGUGCAUGGCUGUCGUCAGCUCGUGCCGUGAGAUGUUGGGUUAAGUCCCGCAACGAGCGCAACCCUUGUUCACUGUUGCCAGCACGUUAUGGUGGGGACUCAGUGGAGACCGCCGGGGUCAACUCGGAGGAAGGUGGGGAUGACGUCAAGUCAUCAUGCCCCUUAUGUCCAGGGCUUCACGCAUGCUACAAUGGCUGGUACAGAGAGUGGCGAGCCUGUGAGGGUGAGCGAAUCUCGGAAAGCCGGUCUCAGUUCGGAUUGGGGUCUGCAACUCGACCUCAUGAAGUCGGAGUCGCUAGUAAUCGCAGAUCAGCAACGCUGCGGUGAAUACGUUCCCGGGGCU